rnacentral:rRNA from 1 species
AUUGAACGCUGGCGGCAGGCCUAACACAUGCAAGUCGAGCGAGCGGCGGACGCGUGAGUAAAGUCUGUGAAACUGUCUGAUGGAGGGGGAUAUCUACUGGAAACGGUUGCUCAUAUCGCAUACUACCAGAUGUGUCCAGAUGGGAUUAGCUAGUAGGUGGGGUAACGGCUCACCUAGGCGACGAUCCCUAGCUGGUCUGAGAGGAGGACCAGCCACACUGGAACUGAGAAACGGUCCAGACUCCUACGGGAGGCAGCAGUGGGGAAUAUUGCACAAGGGGCGCAAGCCUGAUGCAGCCAUGCCGCGUGUGUGAAGAAGGCCUUCGGGUUGUAAAGCACUUUCAGCGGGGAGGCGUUACCCGCAGAAGAAGCACCGGCUAACUCCGUGCCAGCAGCCGCGGUAAUUC